rnacentral:rRNA from 1 species
AUUGGACGCUGGCAGCAGGCCUAACACAUGCAAGUCGAGCGGAUGAAGGGAGCUUGCUCCUGGAUUCAGCGGCGGACGGGUGAGUAAUGCCUAGGAAUCUGCCUGGUAGUGGGGGAUAACGUCCGGAAACGGGCGCUAAUACCGCAUACGUCCUGAGGGAGAAAGUGGGGGAUCUUCGGACCUCACGCUAUCAGAUGAGCCUAGGUCGGAUUAGCUAGUUGGUGGGGUAAAGGCCUACCAAGGCGACGAUCCGUAACUGGUCUGAGAGGAUGAUCAGUCACACUGGAACUGAGACACGGUCCAGACUCCUACGGGAGGCAGCAGUGGGGAAUAUUGGACAAUGGGCGAAAGCCUGAUCCAGCCAUGCCGCGUGUGUGAAGAAGGUCUUCGGAUUGUAAAGCACUUUAAGUUGGGAGGAAGGGCAGUAAGUUAAUACCUUGCUGUUUUGACGUUACCAACAGAAUAAGCACCGGCUAACUUCGUG